CAAACGCAGACGUGUACAUCGCCGCUUCAGCAAGAAAUGAAAAUUUUCCGAGUACAACCAGGACGUCAGAAGCUUUCGAACAUGCCUUGACGCUCAGCGAAAGGUGUUUGAGGUCGGCCGUGCUGCUUCUCCAUUUUGCACUGAACGCAACGAAACGUGCCAUACGGAGUGCUUCAUUCGGUCCUGUUCAUGGCCUGUCCCCCAUAGUGGGCUUGGUUUGGUUUGGUGCUUACAGAUAUAUGGCUCUACCCACUACGAGGGAUCGGCCAUGAAUCCGGUGGCAGUAGGUAAGUAG